AAUACUUAAUCGGUUGUUUGAUUUGGUUACAGAUGUUAUUCCAUCUUUUAUAGACAACAUGGACCAAGAAGUGAUGUUUUUAAGAAGUAAUAAAGGCAACAAUAUAAUGUGGAGGGCUGGUCAUAGAUAUAUGUACAAUAACGGUAGUAAAAAUAACUCCUUCUGGCGUUGUCCCGUACGAUGUUGCAGAGGUUCUUUAGUUUGGGCGAAUAAGGAAAAAGUGGUUGUUAAGUUACAGAAACGAAACCGCUUUUCAUAGACAUGGUGCCAGUGAUGUUUUUGCAGAGUAAUCGAGGCAAGAAAAUAAUGUGGAGGGCUGGACACAAAUAUGCACUAAGCAAAAAACUUCCCAAACAAUCUUACUGGCAUUGUUCGUUGCGAACCUGUAAGGGGACCAUAGUCUGGUCUAAUGCUGAGAAAAGGGUCCUAAAACUGAAACCUCAUAUUUGCAAACCCGACUUCGAAGCGUUUGAAAAACAAAAAAAUAAGACAGGCUUUGCGUACCGCGGUUGUCAACAACCCGACUACGUCUAUUAAGGACAUUUAUGACAAUGUCGUAUCACCUUUUAUGAGUGAUCCAAAGUAUCAAAAUAUUAUACCCAAGUAUAAUUCUAUAAGCGUCAGCCUUUAUAGAGCUAGACGCUUACGUCACACUGAAAAUCUUUAAGUUGUCUUUUAAACAAAAAGUGGGCGAAAAAAUAUCUCAACGAUGUUAUAAUUAAUUGAUAGAUACGGAAGAGUUCUAUAUAGAUUGUGCACUCAUAGAGGUUACAUCGAUCGAUGUACUUAAAAAUUCUAAUAAUAAUAAAAAAAUAUAACUGACUGCCUUACUACCGUUGAAAUAUCGUGUCCACCGUAGUCCUUGUACAGUCAUGAGCAAUAUAAUGUACCCACUUUAGGACUCUGUCGCACUAACAUAUUUGACAUUUAGUGAGACUUACAGUUCAAUUUGUCAAAAAAGUUAAUGUGACAUGGUACCAAAGUGUAUACAUAUUAAUGCUCGUGACCGUAAAUAUACACAUAAACUCACGUCAGUGAUCCCUAAUAGGUCGGGCAGAGCCACAAGUAAUCAAAGACAAGUUAUACCCACUGUGGAUACGUAGUCCUAAGAUCAAUAGUAUGAACCUUAUUACAAGUAUUGUUUUUCAUGUUAGAGGACACAAUCCCUCAGUCGGAUGUUACGACUAGUGAUGUGCCGGAUCGUUAAAAA